AACGAACGCUGGCGGCAGGCUUAACACAUGCAAGUCGAACGCCCCGCAAGGGGAGUGGCAGACGGGUGAGUAACGCGUGGGAAUCUACCCAACCCUACGGAACAACUCCGGGAAACUGGAGCUAAUACCGUAUACGCCCUACGGGGGAAAGAUUUAUCGGGGAUGGAUGAGCCCGCGUUGGAUUAGCUAGUUGGUGGGGUAAAGGCCUACCAAGGCGACGAUCCAUAGCUGGUCUGAGAGGAUGAUCAGCCACAUUGGGACUGAGACACGGCCCAAACUCCUACGGGAGGCAGCAGUGGGGAAUAUUGGACAAUGGGCGCAAGCCUGAUCCAGCCAUGCCGCGUGAGUGAUGAAGGUCUUAGGAUUGUAAAGCUCUUUCACCGGUGAAGAUAAUGACGGUAACCGGAGAAGAAGCCCCGGCUAACUUCGUGCCAGCCGCCGCGGUAAAAC
rnacentral:rRNA from 1 species